AACGAUAAUGGUAAUGAUGGUGAUGGUGGUGAUGGUGACGAUGGUGGUGGUGAUGAUGAUGAGGGUGAUGGUGACAACAGUGGUGAUGAUGGUGGUGAUGAUGGUGGUGAUGGUGAUGAUGGUCAUGGUGAUGGUGGUGAUGAUGAUCGUGAUGAUGAUGAUGAUAACAAUGGUGAUGGUGAUAGUUAGGGACAGGGGUGG
rnacentral:lncRNA from 1 species